AACAAACGCUGGCGGCGUGCCUAACACAUGCAAGUCGUACGAGAAAGGGUCCUUCGGGGCCUGAGUAAAGUGGCGCACGGGUGAGUAACGCGUGGAUAAUCUGCCCUUCAGUUGGGAAUAACUCAUCGAAAGGUGGGCUAAUACCGAAUAAUGCUGUGAGACCUCGGUUGAUCAGCCAAAGAGAGCCUCUGCUUGCAAGCCCUCGCUGAAGGAUGAGUCCGCGUACCAUUAGCUAGUUGGUAGGGUAAUGGCCUACCAAGGCGACGAUGGUUAGCGGGUCUGAGAGGAUGAUCAGCCACACUGGAAUUGGAACACGGUCCAGACUCCUACGGGAGGCAGCAGUGAGGAAUCUUGCGCAAUGGGGGCAACCCUGACGCAGCAACGCCGCGUGAGUGAGGAAGGUCUUCGGAUCGUAAAGCUCUGUCGGAUGGAAAGAACCGCAUAGGGGUAAACAGCCCCUGUGUCUGACGGUACCAUCAAAGGAAGCACCGGCUAACUCCGUGCCAGCCGCCGCCGUAAAAC
rnacentral:rRNA from 1 species